rnacentral:rRNA from 1 species
GACGUAGGGCGCGAGCGUUUGUCCGGAUUUAUUGGGCGUAAAGAGCUCGUAGGCGGCUUGUUGCGUCAGCUGUGAAAAACCCGCAGCUCAACUGUGGGCUUGCAGCUGAUACGGGCAGGCUUGAGUUCGGUAGGGGAGACUGGAAUUCCUGGUGUAGCGGUGAAAUGCGCAGAUAUCAGGAGGAACACCGGUGGCGAAGGCGGGUCCCUGGACAACACCUGACACUGAGGCACGAAAGCUAGGGGAGCAAACAGG